rnacentral:tRNA from 1 species
GGUCCCGUCGCCUAGCCAGGAGCUGCAGACUGAAAGGGCGCCGGCCUUCUAAGCCGGAGUUCCCGGGUUCAAGUCCCGGCGGGACCACCA